ensembl:lncRNA
UCCAUGCAGAACCCUCUUUCAGAGAACUCUUUUGUAGGUUCUGAGAGGACACCCCCACAGGGGGCUCCUGCAGAGAUUCGAUUGGGCCGUUUGGUCCACUCGGCGGUCCGAGAUGACGAGGUUCCAUAACGUGCAACAUGAAGGUCAUGAAACUGGAUAUCUCAUGUUGGGUUAAAUGUGUGGUCUCCAUAUUGACCCCCACAUUGAGGACGCGGGGCGCCAAGAGCAACCAGACAGAAGACAAUCGACCUGCCGCCAAAAAGCUCAGAGACCAAAGAGGAGACGAAACGGGACGAACCGUUUAUCGUUAAACACGUUUACUGCAUCAAUCAGAAAGAGGCAGAAAGUCAAUGCGGUCGAUGGUAAACGACACAGACGAUUAAACGCGUCGAUGCUAACGGGGAUGAAAAUGACUAAUCAGAGUAACAAGUGUUUUAUGUGUGCUAAAUGCUAACAUUAGCAUGCUAACUGCAGGUGUUGUCAUAGAAACGCGUUAAAUCAGCGCUAACCGAAUACGCGCUGCAGGAUAACAGGAAUUAGUUUUUUCAUUUGUUCCUUCAAACAAGUUACAGGAUACAAUCUGUCAUUUGUUUAAAGGAAGUUUGCAGGAAGUCAGCGUGAGCGUGUUGAACCACCAGAGGCUUUACUGUUCAUUCUAAUCAACAUUUCGUUAGUUGAUCAUAUGUUUAAAAUAUGUCAAAUUAGGAAUUAUAUACAUCACAAAUAUGAAUUCUCUUCAACGUUUUCCUCCACCUUCACUUCUCUGUCUCCUGCAUUCUGACUCACAAUUUAAUCAGAACAAGAC